UACGGCGACAUCACGCUGAAACACCAGUUCCCGUGCAACAACCAAAGUUAAGCAAUGUCAAGCCUGACCAGAACCUAGAUGGGUGACCGCUUAGGAAUACCAGGUGCUGUAAG